AUACCAAUACAAUAUUAUUCCCUAUCCAAAUAAAUAACCUACAUUUUAAUACCCAACCCACAUUUAUAUCAGCCCAUAUUUAAAUUAAUAGGCCGGCCCAAAACGGACCAGCCCAAGAAUUAUCAGACCCGACCCAUUCUUAAUUUCCUAAACCUAAACCCUCACGCCUGCCUCCUCUUUCUUUUUCUCAUCUCCGUCGCCCCUCAUCUCUUUCUCCCUUUUCUUUCUUCAUCUUCGCCGCCGCCCCUCACCCUUUUCCACCUCAUCUCAUCGCCACCCUUCUUCCGCCGCACCUCUCUUCCCUCUCUCUCUUCAUCAUCGUUCCUUUCCUCCCCUUUAUCCUAAACCCUAGCCGCCGCGCACACACCUCACACUCUCUCCUUCUCCUCUGACUUCGCCCAUACUCCACUACUCCAUCUGACACCCUCCACCAUGCCUCUGUCCUUUGUCCCCCACGCCUCACGUUCUCCCCACUUCGUUCCACCAUCUCUGCCACCUCCACACUCCCUUGUCCCCCACGCCUAUCUCUUCCAUAUUCCCUUUGUCCCCCGCUUCGUCUCUCUCAUACGCUCCUCCCUUUGCCUCAAAUACAAACGAAUCCCUAUAAAUGUAAUCGGGGUGGAAUCGUUUGAGGAGGGGAUUCGAUUCUGGAGAAAAGGGAGGGUUGAGUGGUUAAAGGGGAAAAACCCGAUGAACUGAGACAAAACAAGGAAUCAGCAUUUUUGAUUGGAAAGAAUAGAUGGCAUUCAACAUUUUGGGGAAAUUCCAUUACUUUAGAAGUUCGAAUCUGCUUCACUUUAAGUUUGUUUCGAACCAUUUUUAUUUACGUUUUUUUUUAGGAUUACUAAAAACAAACCAAACUUCCUUUUAAAAAGAGUGUUCGGUUCUGUCGAAUUUUUUGAUUCGAAAGACUUUUUCUCGAGUUCGAAUUCGUCGCGUUCAAGUGUAGAUUCGAGACCAUCGACACCCACUUCACUGCACCACAAACAGGUAUGCAUUUGCAUCGGAGUACAACAAAUGACGAAGAUCAAGGGCAUCACAAAUGAAGCUAGAAGUUAGGCAUAGAAAUUUUAUUUACUUUAUUUAGAUUAGGAAACACUUUAUGUUGUAUUCAUUUGACAUGUAAUAAAUAUUACAUUAUUUUUUACUUUUGAGAAAUAGAAUCUGUUUAAUUAAUCAAAGCAACGGGAUGACAUAUUAUGGCA